GCGGCGACGGGUGAGUAACAGUGGGCAACCUGCCUGUAGACUGGGAUAACUCCGGAAACCGGGCUAAUACGGAUAACAUUCUCUUGCAUAAGAGAAAAUUGAAAGAUGGUUCGGCUUCACUUACAGAUGGGCGCGGUGCAUUAGCUAGUUGGUGAGGUAACGGCUCACCAAGGCAACGAUGCAUAGCCGACCUGAGAGGGUGAUCGGCCACACUGGGACUGAGACACGGCCAGACUCCUACGGGAGCAGCAGUAGGGAUCUUCGCAAUGGACGAAAGUCUGACGGAGCAACGCCGCGUGAGUGAUGAAGGCUUUCGGGUCGUAAAACUCUGUUGUUAGGGAAGAACAAGUACAAGAGUAACUGCUUGUACCUUGACGUACCUAACCAGAAAGCCACGGCUAACUACGUGCCAGCAGCCGCGGUAAUACGUAGGUGCAAGCGUUAUCCGGAAUUAUUGGCGUAAACGGCGCGGCGUUUCUUAAGUCGAUGUGAAACCCACGGCUCAACCGUGGAGGGUCAUUGGAAACUGGGGAACUUGAGUGCAGAAGAGAAAGCGGAAUUCCACGUGUAGCGGUGAAAUGCGUAAGAUGUGGAGGAACACCGUGGCGAAGGCGGCUUUGGUCUGUUACUACGCUGAGGCGCGAAACGGGGAAAAACAGCAUUAGUACUCUGGUAGUCCACCCCGUAACGAUGAGUGCUGAUAGUGAGAGGG
rnacentral:rRNA from 2 species